ensembl:snoRNA small nucleolar RNA SNORD72
AGCUCACCAAUGAUGCCAAUUUAAAUGUCUGAACCAAUGAAUUCAUCGUGAUUCAACUUUUAUUUACUCUGAGGUGAGCU